CCUACGGGCGGCUGCAGUCGAGAAUCUUCGGCAAUGGGCGCAAGCCUGACCGAGCGACGCCGCGUGCGGGAUGAAGGCCUUCAGGUUGUAAACCGCUGUCAGAGGGGAGGAAAUGCAUGGGAGUUCUCUCUCAUGUUUGACCUAUCCUCAUAGGAAGUACGGGCUAAGUUCGUGCCAGCAGCCGCGGUAAUACGAACCGUACGAACGUUAUUCUGAUUCACUGCGCUUAAGGCUUGCAUAGGCGGCUGUGAAAGCCCUCGGCUCAACCGAGGAAUUGCGCCCAAAACUACAUGGCUUGAGGAAGAUAGAGGUAAGCGGAACUAAUGGUGGAGCGGUGAAAUGCGUUGAUAUCAUUAGGAACACCUGUGGCGAAAGCAGCUUACUGGGUCUUGUCUGACGCUGAUGCACGAAAGCUAGGGGAGCGAACGGGAUUAGAUACCCGGGUAGUC
rnacentral:rRNA from 1 species